rnacentral:tRNA from 1 species
GACUUUGUACUUUAAAUUAAAAGAUUUGACUUGCAUUCAAAAAAUAAGUUUUAAUACUUCGAGGUCA